AUAAAGGACCUGAAAUAAGAAAGAUCACAGCUUCAUUCACAGCAGUGAACAACAUUUACACAGAGAAUAUUACAUAAGAGAAUAACAUUGAGCACAGAGGAGAAACUAUCACUGCAUCACCAUGAUUGCAAAGAUUUGUGUCGUCCUUGUUCUGUUUGUUGCCUCUGGCAACGCACAGACCACAACCAGAACCACCACGGCUGCACCAACCACAUUCGCAGCCACUACUACAGUAGCAACCAGAGCCGCAGCCACUACUACAGCAGAAACCACAUCCACAGCCGCUACUGCAGCAACAACCAGAGCCGCAGCCACUACUACAGUAGCAACCACAUCCACAGCUGCUACUGCAGCAACAACCAGAGCCGCAGCCACUACUACAGCAGAAACCACAUCCACAGCCGCUACUGCAGCAACAACCAGAGCCGCAGCCACUACUACAGCAGAAACCACAUCCGCAGCCGCUACUGCACCAACAACCUCAUCCGCACCCACUACUGCACCAACAACCAGAGCCGCAGCCACUAAUACAGUAGCAACCACAUCCGCACCCACUACUGCACCAACAACCUCAUCCGCACCCACUACUGCACCAACAACCAGAGCCGCAGCCACUACUACAGUAGCAACCACAUCCGCAGCCGCUACUGCACCAACAACCUCAUCCGCACCCACUACUGCACCAACAACCAGAGCCGCAGCCACUAAUACAGUAGCAACCACAUCCGCAACCACUACUGAAGCAACAACUACAACCAGCACGGCUGGUUGUGAUACCAGCACGGCUGGACCACCACCAACUACAACCAGCACGGCUGGUUGUGAUACCAGCACGGCUAGGCCAACAUGUAGCGUGGAGUGUGUUUGUAAAUGUUAAUCUCUGAUAUGUCAUCACAUGUGUCCCUGAUGGAAAUAAUCAAACUGUCUCUGGACUCUGUAAUGUUCUGGUUCAGAGGAUUGCGAGUGAAUCUGCUUUUUGUCUGUAAUUACAUAAAAAAGAUGAUCUACAAUAAAGGUUUACCAAAGUUAUUCUUUAAAGUUUAGCAAAUUACUUGCUAAAGACCUUUGGUAGAUAUUGUAGUCUUUCUUGAUAAGCUGAUAAAUAAAACAUCUAUUUACAUUUA